rnacentral:rRNA from 1 species
UACGGAGGGGGCUAGCGUUGUUCGGAAUUACUGGGCGAAAAGCGCGCGUAGGCGGAUCUGUAAGUUGGGGGUGAAAUCCCGAGGCUCAACCUCGGAACUGCCUUCGAUACUGCAGAUCUCGAGUCCGAGAGAGGUGAGUGGAAUUCCUAGUGUAGAGGUGAAAUUCGUAGAUAUUAGGAAGAACACCAGUGGCGAAGGCGGCUCACUGGCUCGGUACCGACGCUGAGGCGCGAAAGCGUGGGGAGCAAACAGG